rnacentral:rRNA from 1 species
GAAAGCCUGACGGAGCAAUACCGCGUGAGGGAGGAAGGCUCUUGGGUUGUAAACCUCUUUUCUCUGGGAAUAAAAAAGAAGGUACCAGAGGAAUAAGCAUCGGCUAACUCCGUGCCAGCAGCCGCGGUAAUACGGAGGAUGCAAGCGUUAUCCGGAAUGAUUGGGCGUAAAGCGUCCGCAGGUGGCAUUGAAAGUCUGCUGUCAAAGAGUCUGGCUCAACCAGAUAAAGGCAGUGGAAACUACAAAGCUAGAGUGCGUUCGGGGUAGAGGGAAUUCCUGGUGUAGCGGUGAAAUGCGUAGAGAUCAGGAAGAACACCGGUGGCGAAGGGGCUCUACUAGGCCGCAACUGACACUGAGGGACGAAAGCUAGGGGAGCGAAUGGGAUUAGAUACCCCAGUAGUCCUAGCUGUAAACGAUGGAUACUAGGCGUUGCUUGUAUCGACCCGAGCAGUGCCGUAGCUAACGCGUUAAGUAUCCCGCCUGGGGAGUACGCACGCAAGUGUGAAACUCAAAGGAAUUGACGGGGGCCCGCACAAGCGGUGGAGUAUGUGGUUUAAUUCGAUGCAACGCGAAGAACCUUACCAGGGCUUGACAUGUCGCGAAUCAGGGGGAAACUUCUGAGUGCCUUCGGGAGCGCGAACACAGGUGGUGCAUGGCUGUCGUCAGCUCGUGUCGUGAGAUGUUGGGUUAAGUCCCGCAACGAGCGCAACCCUCGUUUUUAGUUGCCAGCAUUAAGUUGGGCACUCUAAAGAGACUGCCGGUGACAAACCGGAGGAAGGUGGGGAUGACGUCAAGUCAGCAUGCCCCUUACGUCCUGGGCUACACACGUACUACAAUGCGACGGACAGAGGGCAGCAAGCUAGUGAUAGCAAGCAAAUCCCGUAAACCGGCGCUCAGUUCAGAUCGAAGGCUGCAACUCGCCUUCGUGAAGGUGGAAUCGCCAGUAGUUGCAGGUCAGCAUACUGCAGUGAAUUCGUUCCCGGGCCUUGUACACACCGCCCGUCACACCAUGGAAGCUGGUAGUGCUCGAAGUCAUUACCCCAACCUUUCGAGGAGGGGGAUGCCUAAGGCAGGACUGGUGACUGGGGUGAA